rnacentral:rRNA from 1 species
GACGAACGCUGGCGGCGUGCUUAACACAUGCAAGUCGAGCGGAAAGGCCCUUCGGGGUACUCGAGCGGCGAACGGGUGAGUAACACGUGAGCAACCUGCCCUAGGCUUUGGGAUAACCCUCGGAAACGGGGGCUAAUACCGAAUAGGACCUGACAUCGCAUGAUGUUUGGUGGAAAGUUUUUCGGCCUGGGAUGGGCUCGCGGCCUAUCAGCUUGUUGGUGGGGUGAUGGCCUACCAAGGCGACGACGGGUAGCCGGCCUGAGAGGGCGACCGGCCACACUGGGACUGAGACACGGCCCAGACUCCUACGGGAGGCAGCAGUGGGGAAUAUUGCACAAUGGGCGGAAGCCUGAUGCAGCGACGCCGCGUGAGGGAUGACGGCCUUCGGGUUGUAAACCUCUUUCAGCAGGGACGAAGCGUAAGUGACGGUACCUGCAGAAGAAGCGCCGGCCAACUACGUG